rnacentral:rRNA from 1 species
UGGGGAAUUUUGGACAAUGGGCGAAAGCCUGAUCCAGCAAUGCCGCGUGUGUGAAGAAGGCCUUCGGGUUGUAAAGCACUUUUGUCCGGAAAGAAAUCCUUGGCUCUAAUACAGUCGGGGGAUGACGGUACCGGAAGAAUAAGCACCGGCUAACUACGUGCCAGCAGCCGCGGUAAUACGUAGGGUGCAAGCGUUAAUCGGAAUUACUGGGCGUAAAGCGUGCGCAGGCGGUUUGCUAAGACCGAUGUGAAAUCCCCGGGCUCAACCUGGGAACUGCAUUGGUGACUGGCAGGCUAGAGUAUGGCAGAGGGGGGUAGAAUUCCACGUGUAGCAGUGAAAUGCGUAGAGAUGUGGAGGAAUACCGAUGGCGAAGGCAGCCCCCUGGGCCAAAUACUGACGCUCAUGCACGAAAGCGUGGGGAGCAAACAGGAUUAGAUACCCUGGUAGUCCAGCGCCCUAAACGAUGUCAACUAGUUGUUGGGGAUUCAUUUCCUUAGUAACGUAGCUAACGCGUGAAGUUGACCGCCUGGGGAGUACGGUCGCAAGAUUAAAACUUAAAGGAAUUGACGGGGUCAUAGC